rnacentral:rRNA from 1 species
GGAACGAACGCUGGCGGCAUGCCUAAUACAUGCAAGUCGAACGAACACUUCGGUGUUAGUGGCGCACGGGUGCGUAACGCGUGGGAACCUGCCCUUGGUUCGGAAUAACAGUUGGAAACGACUGCCAAUACCGGAUGAUAUCGAAAGAUCAAAGAUUUAUCGCCCAGGGAUGAGCCCGCGUAGGAUUAGCUAGUUGGUGAGGUAAAGGCUCACCAAGGCGACGAUCCUUAGCUGGUCUGAGAGGAUGAUCAGCCACACUGGGACUGAGACACGGCCCAGACUCCUACGGGAGCAGCAGUAGGGAAUAUUGGACAAGUGGGACGCAAAGCCUGAUCCGAGCAAUGCCGCGUGAGUGAGUGAAGCGUUAGGCUAGUAACGUCUCUUUUACCGAGUAUAGAUAUGACUAGUAGUACGG